rnacentral:rRNA from 1 species
AGUGAACGCUGGCGGCGUGCUUAACACAUGCAAGUCGAACGAGAACGGGAUAUAGCUUGCUAUAUUUGUCAGCUAAGUGGCGCACGGGUGAGUAAUGUAUAGAUAACCUGCCCUCUAGAAAGGAAUAACAGUUGGAAACGACUGCUAAUGCCCUAUAUGCCUUUAAUACAUAAGUAUGCAAGGGAAACGCUUUAGUGCUAGAGGAUGGGUCUGUAUGGUAUCAGCUUGUUGGUGAGGUAAUGGCUCACCAAGGCUAUGACGCCUAACUGGUUUGAGAGGAUGAUCAGUCCAGCUGUAACUGAGACACGGUCCAGACUCCUACGGGAGGCAGCAGUGGGGAAUAUUGCACAAUGGACGAAAGUCUGAUGCAGCAACGCCGCGUGGAGGAUGACACAUUUCGGUGCGUAAACUCCUUUUAUAUAGGAAGAUAAUGACGGUACUAUAUGAACAAGCACCGGCUAACUCCGUGCCAGCAGCCGCCGUAA